GGCACCAGCUGCAGAUGUGGAGGUCUGGCUGCCUGCAGGUCACCUACACUGUCGGGAUUGGAGACAAAUGUUUAUGUGGCAGACUGACUCUACGGUGUCCCAGUGAUCCCCAUCUCCAGAUUCUCUCCCUUCCUUGCUCUGAAGAAGCAGUCACCAUGAUGGAAGGCCCAUGCUGCUGAGGACAGCCUCUGGGAACUGAGACAACACACAACCAGAAACUGGAGCCCUCCAGCAUACAACCUCAAGGAACUGAAUUCUGCAAACACUCGAGCCUUCAGAUGAGAACAUGAGCCUGUCUGAUGCCCUCACUGAGGACUUACAGAGACCCAGCCAAUUUACAACUGGACUCUUGACCCAUAGAAACUGUGAGAGAGUCAAUGCAUGCUCUUUUACGCCACUAAGUUUGUGGUAAUGCUGUCAUGCAGCAAAUGAAAUUAAUACAGCUUGAUUUUCAUAAUUGGGCAAAACAAUUUCGUAAAGUAGAGUAACUUUUAGCUUCAGUUGUAACAAAAAAAGACACAUUUUCUUAGUCUAAUUAAUAAAGUUGUAAUUUCCCUCUAAAUAAGCUUUACUUUUAUAUUCAAAAUACCACCUGUGGUAAUUUUAUGAUGCCAGUCAUUUUAUAUAAUAUACUUUUCCAUUUUGAAAUACACCAGGUAA
rnacentral:lncRNA from 1 species